GGCUUCCGGAGGAAGUGCGUGAGAAUACUCGCUUGUGAUUGGUGGAUCUGGCCGCGGCCGGGAAAUUCUAACAGAAGUCUGGGACGAACUGGAGAACUGCAAAGGCGCGGGAAAGAAUCCGGGCCCCAGCCGGAGUGAGCGGCUGGUGUGACGCAUGCGCAACGCAACCCAGACCCCGGCAGGCCGCCAACCAACUGUCCCACUUAUACGUAUAGGUUGGAGCCCCGAGAGUUUCUGUUCAGCGAGGCUCACCUUUCAGGUGAGGUUUACCUCGGCUCUCGAUCACUACGAGGGAGACUGCCUCAAUGAACUUGCAGCAUGAAAGAAUGAGUCUUCAGAGACAUAGUAAGAAAAAGUAAAUCCAUGUGCCUCCACAGAGAAACACCAGUGGAAUGGAGCAGUGGGUGCUGUGAACUACAAGAGCUGGUGAGUGACUCCAGUUCAAGCAGCUGUUGGGGAGAAUACUUGGCUGGAUGCCAUUUGGGGAGCAGCCUUAGGGCUUCCAGGGACUAGGUGAGGUACAACUGCAGGAGACAUUCAUGGUGAGGAAGCAAGGCCAAGAUGGCAGGAGAC
rnacentral:lncRNA from 1 species